AUUCCAGCUCCAAUAAGGAAAACUAAAGUUGCUGUGUUUAAAAAGCUCGUAGUUGAAUUUCGGGUAUUUGUUGCUAGCUGGUCUAACUGGCCAUGUUGGUUAACAGAUCCUCACUUGCUGGACGGCUGGCGAUGAUCUUUAUCGGUUGUCGUCAGUUGCCAGAACGUUUACUUUGAGAAAAUUAGAGUGCUAAAAGCAGGCUCACGCCUAUAUAUAUUGCAUGGAAUAAUGAAAUAAGAUCUCGAUUUUAUUUCGUUGGUUUUAGAAAUUGAGAUAAUGAUUAAUAGGAUCAGAGGGGGGCGUACGUACUGUGGUGUGAGAGGUGAAAUUCUUGGAUCGCCACAGGACGAACAGCAGCGAAGGCGUUCGCCAAGAAUGUUUUCAUUA
rnacentral:rRNA from 1 species